rnacentral:rRNA from 1 species
GACGAACGCUGGCGGCGUGCUUAACACAUGCAAGUCGAACGGAUAGGCCCUGCUUUUGUGGUGUGCUCGAGUGGCGAACGGGUUUGUAACACGUGAGUAACCUGCCCUUGACUUUGGGAUAACUUCAGGAAACUGGGGCUAAUACCGGAUAGGAGCUCCUGCUGCAUGGUGGGGGUUGGAAAGUUUCGGCGGUUGGGGAUGGACUCGCGGCUUAUGAGCUUGUUGGUGGGGUAGUGGCUUACCAAGGCUUUGACGGGUAGCCGGCCUGAGAGGGUGACCGGCCACAUUGGGACUGAGAUACGGCCCAGACUCCUACGGGAGGCAGCAGUGGGGAAUAUUGCACAAUGGGCGGAAGCCUGAUGCAGCAACGCCGCGUGCGGGAUGACGGCCUUCGGGUUGUAAACCGCUUUCGCCUGUGACGAAGCGUGAGUGACGGUAAUGGGUAAAGAAGCACCGGCUAACUACGUG